rnacentral:rRNA from 1 species
GACGAACGCUGGCGGCGUGCCUAACACAUGCAAGUCGUACGGGACUAAGGGGGCAACUCUUUAGUUCAGUGGCAGACGGGUGCGUAACACGUGAGGAACCUGUCCGGUGGCGGGGGAUAGCCGGCCCAACGGCCGGGUAAUACCGCAUACGCUCGUUUGGGGGCAUCCCUGAGCGAGGAAAGCAGCCGCAAGGUUGCGCCGACGGAGGGUCUCGCGGCCUAUCAGCUUGUUGGCGGGGUCAACGGCCCACCAAGGCGACGACGGGUAGCUGGUCUGAGAGGAUGAUCAGCCACAUUUGGGACUGAGACACGGCCCAGACUCCUACGGGAGGCAGCAGUGGGGAAUAUUGCGCAAUGGCCGCAAGGCUGACGCAGCG